rnacentral:rRNA from 1 species
GUUUUCUGGACGUCGUUUCCUGAAUUGACGGCCGCGAAUUCUCCCUUGUGCCGGCAGCCGCGGUAAUUCCAGCUCCAGUAGCGUAUAUUAAAGUUGUUGCAGUUAAAAAGCUCGUAGCUGAACCUUGGGCCUGGCUGGCCGGCCCGCCUCACCGCGUGCACUGGCCCGGCCGGGCCUUUCCUUCUGGGAAAUCCCAUGGCCUUCCCUGGCCAUGUGGGGGACCCACGACUUUUACUUUGAAAAAAUUAGAGUGAUCAAAGCAGGCCUUUGCUCACAUACAUUAGCAUGGAAUAAUUGAAUACGACGUGCGGUUCUAUUUUGUUGGUUUCUAGGACCGCCGUAAUGAUUAAUAGGGAUAGUCGGGGGCAUCUGUAUUCAAUUGUCAGAGGUGAAAUUCUUGGAUUUAUUGAAGACAAACUACUGCGAAAGCCUUUGCCCAGGAUGUUUUCAUUAAUCUCGAACGAAAGUUAGGGGAUCGAAGACGAUCAGAUACCGUCUCAUCUUAACCAUAAACUAUGCCGACCAGGGAUCGGACUGUGGUAUUUUUUGCCCCCCCCGGCACCUUACGAGAAAUCAAAGUGCUUGUGCUCCGGGGGCGAGUAUGGUCGCAAGGCUGAUACUGAGACAAAUGACCGAAGGGCACCACCACGGGUGGAGCGUGCGGCUUAAUUUGUCUCAACACGCGCGAACUUACCUGGUCGAGUCCCAUCUAGGAUUGACCGACUGAGAGCUCUGCUCUUGAUUUUGUGUGAUGGUGGUGCAUGGCCGUUCCUUAUUUUGGUGUAGUGAUAUUUCUUGCUCAGAUCGUUGACAAAACAAGACCCUGACCUUUCAAUAGACUGUGCUGCUUCGGUCCUGCAGCCGGCUCUUAGAGCGACCAAUCCGCUCUCAACUCUAUUGGAAGCUUAUUGAGGUCCUAAACCAAGUGUCCUU